CCUAGGCGACGAUCCCUAGCUGGUCUGAGAGGAUGACCAGCCACACUGGAACUGAGACACGGUCCAGACUCCUACGGGAGGCAGCAGUGGGGAAUAUUGCACAAUGGGCGCAAGCCUGAUGCAGCCAUGCCGCGUGUAUGAAGAAGGCU
rnacentral:rRNA from 1 species